GACGAACGCUGGCGGCGUGCUUAACACAUGCAAGUCGAACGGAAAGGCCCUGCUUUUGUGGGGUGCUCGAGUGGCGAACGGGUGAGUAACACGUGAGUAACCUGCCCUUGACUUUGGGAUAACUUCAGGAAACUGGGGCUAAUACCGGAUAGGAGCUCCUGCUGCAUGGUGGGGGUUGGAAAGUUUCGGCGGUUGGGGAUGGACUGGCGGCUUAUCAGCUUGUUGGUGGGGUAGUGGCUUACCAAGGCUUUGACGGGUAGCCGGCCUGAGAGGGUGACCGGCGACAUUGGGACUGAGGGACGGCCGAGACUCCUACGGGAGGCAGCAGUGGGGAAUAUUGCACGAUGGGCGGAAGCCUGAUGCAGCAACGCCGCGUGCGGGAUAACGGCCUUCGGGUUGUAAACCGAUUUCGCCUGUGACGAAGCGUGAGUGACGGUAAUGGGUAAAGAAGCACCGGCUAACUACGUG
rnacentral:rRNA from 1 species